AUUGAACGCUGGCGGCAGGCCUAACACAUGCAAGUCGAACGAGUGGCGGACGGGUGACUAAUGUAUGGGAAACUGCCUGAUGGAGGGGGAUCCCUACCGGCUACGGUUGCUAACACCGCAUACCAUCAGCUGUGUCCAGAUGGGAUUAGCGUGUUGGUGGGGUAACGGCUAACCAAGGCCACGAACCCUAGCUGGUCUGAGAGGAUGACCAGCCACACUGGAACGGAGACACGGUCCAGACUCCUACGGGAGGCAGCAGUGGGGAAUAUUGCACAAUGGGCGCAAGCCUGAUGCAGCCAUGCCGCGUGUAUGAAGAAGGCCUUCGGGUUGUAAAGUACUUUCAGCGGGGAGGCGUUACCCGCAGAAGAAGCACCGGCUAACUCCGUGCCAGCAGCCGCGGUAAUUC
rnacentral:rRNA from 1 species